AGUAGAUGAGGUGGGGGUGCACAUCUGUAAUUACAUUUCCUGGGGAGGUUAAAACUGGCAGAACUCUUGAGCUCCAGAGAUCUGAGAUUUAUGUACAGCUAAGCUGAUCAGGUGUUUGCACUAAGUUCAGCAUUAAGAUGUGUGAAGGGUAGGGAAAAGGGGACACCAGGUUGCCUAAGGAAAGGUGAACUGACCCAGGUCAGAAAUGGAACAGGUCAAAACUCCUAUGCUGAUCAGUAAUGGGAUCAUCCCAGGGUAGCCGCUGUACUCAGCCUGGGUGAGAAAGGGAAAUCUAGUCUUU
rnacentral:SRP_RNA from 1 species